UGUUGAGUGUUCUGCCUUGUGUGCUGUUUUUUGGACUAUUCCCUGUGUGGUGGAUUGUUUCUGCCUGUUGGAUUUUCCCUUUUAUUUGGACUCUCACUGUGAAUUAAGAACAUGCCAGAAGAUCUGGAAGUCACUGUCAACAGAAGGUGUAGCCAGAGAGAAGACUGUGGCCUCUGAGUCCUGCAAUGGACCUGUAGGCAUUGAAAAUAAACUAUAAUGCAUUCUGCCCUUUUCACAGUUAAA